rnacentral:lncRNA from 1 species
UAUAAUGUUACUUAUUUGGCUUACCAAAUAUCAAUCUGAAAUGAUGUUUUGUUUACAAGUAUAGAGCAUUUAUACUGGCUUUAAAUGAUUGUAUCUGUUCCCAAGCUUGAAUAUCAUAAUUAUCAAUUAUGGUUUCAAGGCGCAGCUAAAGGAGUGGCUGAAUUUUUAUGUAUAAGUAGGAUAUUAAUGCAAUUGUUAACUUCGUAAAAACAAAAAUUUACUGAAGCCCACUGAGGCUUGGACCAUAUUUGAUUUAUUUGCUUCUUGUUCUGUUGUAUCUGUGGUUGCAUGAUCAAGUAAUAAUGUUAAAAUUUUCCUCCUCUCAGGGAAGUCAACCCUUACCGACUCCCUUGUUGCUGCUGCUGGUAUCAUUGCACAAGAAGUUGCUGGUGAUGUCCGCAUGACAGAUACCCGUGCAGAUGAGGCAGAGCGUGGUAUCACAAUCAAAUCUACUGGUAUCUCUCUCUACUAUGAGAUGACUGAUGAAGCUUUGAAGAGCUACAAGGGGGAGAGAAACGGAAAUGAGUACCUCAUCAAUCUCAUUGAUUCCCCUGGGCACGUUGACUUUUCAUCUGAAGUCACAGCUGCCCUUCGCAUUACUGAUGGUGCACUUGUGGUGGUUGAUUGCAUUGAGGGUGUUUGUGUCCAAACAGAGACUGUGCUUCGUCAAGCCUUGGGAGAAAGGAUCAGGCCUGUUUUGACUGUUAACAAGAUGGACAGGUGCUUCCUUGAGCUCCAGGUCGAUGGAGAGGAGGCUUACCAAACAUUCCAGAGGGUUAUUGAGAAUGCUAAUGUUAUUAUGGCUACAUACGAAGACCCUCUUCUUGGUGAUGUCCAGGUCUAUCCAGAGAAAGGAACAGUUGCCUUUUCUGCUGGUUUGCACGGAUGGGCUUUUACUCUGACCAACUUUGCCAAGAUGUAUGCAUCCAAGUUUGGAGUUGAUGAGUCAAAGAUGAUGGAAAGGCUCUGGGGUGAGAACUACUUUGACCCAGCUACCAAGAAAUGGACCAGCAAGAACACUGGUUCUGCUACCUGCAAGCGUGGUUUCGUUCAGUUCUGUUAUGAACCCAUCAAGCAGAUUAUCAACACCUGCAUGAAUGAUCAGAAGGAGAAGUUGUGGCCCAUGUUGACAAAGCUUGGUGUGACGAUGAAGAGUGAUGAAAAGGAGCUGAUGGGGAAGGGGUUGAUGAAGCGUGUCAUGCAGACCUGGCUACCAGCCAGCAGUGCCCUAUUGGAAAUGAUGAUCUUUCACCUUCCCUCUCCUUCAACUGCCCAGAGAUACCGUGUUGAGAACUUGUACGAGGGUCCCCUUGAUGAUCAAUAUGCAAAUGCUAUCAGGAACUGCGAUCCUGAAGGGCCUCUUAUGCUCUAUGUAUCUAAGAUGAUUCCCGCAUCUGACAAGGGUCGAUUCUUUGCCUUUGGUCGUGUCUUUGCUGGUAAAGUCCAGACAGGUUUGAAGGUUAGAAUCAUGGGUCCAAAUUAUGUUCCUGGAGAGAAGAAGGAUUUGUAUGUUAAGAACGUGCAGAGGACUGUUAUUUGGAUGGGAAAGAAACAAGAAACUGUUGAGGAUGUUCCUUGUGGUAACACUGUUGCCUUGGUCGGUCUUGAUCAGUUUAUCACCAAGAAUGCUACGUUGACAAAUGAGAAGGAAGCGGAUGCUCACCCCAUUCGUGCUAUGAAGUUCUCUGUUUCACCUGUUGUGCGUGUUGCUGUUCAAUGCAAGGUGGCUUCUGACCUUCCCAAACUGGUUGAAGGUCUCAAACGUCUGGCCAAGUCUGAUCCUAUGGUUGUCUGUUCCAUUGAGGAAUCCGGUGAGCACAUUAUUGCUGGUGCUGGUGAACUUCAUCUUGAGAUUUGUUUGAAGGAUCUACAAGAUGAUUUCAUGGGUGGAGCUGAGAUUAUAAAAUCUGACCCCGUUGUGUCUUUCCGUGAGACUGUCCUGGAGAAGUCUAGUCGUACUGUGAUGAGCAAGUCACCCAACAAGCAUAACCGUCUGUAUAUGGAAGCUCGACCCUUGGAGGAAGGUCUUCCUGAGGCCAUUGAUGAUGGCCGUAUUGGCCCAAGAGAUGAUCCCAAAAUUCGUUCCAAGAUCUUGGCUGAAGAGUUUGGUUGGGACAAGGAUCUUGCUAAGAAAAUCUGGUGUUUUGGCCCUGAGACCACCGGUCCUAACAUGGUGGUGGAUAUGUGUAAGGGAGUUCAGUACCUGAAUGAAAUUAAGGACUCUGUUGUUGCUGGUUUCCAGUGGGCUUCAAAGGAAGGUGCAUUGGCAGAAGAAAACAUGAGGGGUAUUUGCUUUGAAGUCUGUGAUGUGGUUCUUCAUGCUGAUGCCAUCCACAGAGGAGGUGGUCAGGUCAUUCCCACUGCUAGGAGGGUCAUCUAUGCUUCCCAGCUCACUGCCAAGCCAAGGCUCCUUGAACCUGUAUAUCUUGUUGAAAUCCAAGCUCCAGAGCAGGCUCUUGGUGGUAUCUACAGUGUUCUUAAUCAGAAACGUGGGCACGUGUUUGAGGAAAUGCAGAGGCCUGGUACACCACUCUACAAUAUCAAGGCAUACCUCCCCGUCAUUGAAUCUUUUGGGUUCUCUGGUCAACUGAGGGCUUCGACUUCAGGGCAGGCCUUCCCACAAUGUGUCUUUGAUCAUUGGGAGAUGAUGUCGUCUGAUCCAUUGGAAGCUGGAUCCCAGGCUUCACAGCUUGUUACAGAUAUCCGUAAGAGGAAGGGUUUGAAGGAGCAAAUGACCCCACUAUCCGAGUUUGAGGACAAACUCUGAGUAAUUUCUUUGAUUAUAUCGAACAAUUGGAUGACUGAGUCACUUUGAGACAGUAGUUCCAUUGCACUGCCUAUUUUUGGUUUUCAGUUUUUUGUUUUCGUUUAAUGUUUGUACCAACCCUGUUGUUGUAGUCAGCAUCCUGUGCCAGUAGUAACGUUUUGUGCGUGCUCAGAAGAUUAUGUAAUGUUAUGUUCUUACUUUGUUGCUUAUGGAACCAUUUCUGCCAUUGCUGGUACAUGCUAUUUUUGAAUUUACUAUACACCCCUUUUUGUGGUUUGUUUCGUGGAUUGGGUAGCUUGUUCUUGUAUAACUUGACUGUUCUGUGUGUUUGCUACAGCUUCAUAUCUCAAUAAUAGAUAGAGGAAAGCAGGCUGAUUCCUACUUUUGAACCUAAUUCUUCUGUUAUGAUAUAGGGAUAAACAUUGCCGAGUGGCCGGACAGGGUGGCAUACUUAAGACCAGUCUUGCUGUAGGAGUUGGCUUGAUUUGCUUUUUCAAUUUUCUCUCGGGAUUCUUGUGUUGUGUAGCAGCAUCAAGUAAAAUUUGAUUGCUUUGUGAUUUUGGAGCACCACUGGAACUUUUAGAUAGUAAAUAACUGUAUUGGCCUUGUAUUUGCAAGUUCCGGAGCAUUUGGCCUUUGAUUUCGCUUAAAGUGGCAUUGCAUUUUCCGUGCGUAACUGGAACUUUUUGGAUGUUGACCAAAGAAGAAAUGGUACCGAAUGGUGGAAGCAUUUGAUGCAUACUGUAUGAAUAUGGUUCGCCUUAUAUGCUCCAAAGCUGGAAGUAGUGUAGAAGGAGAAAAUGGGAGUGAAAAUCGCCAUCCUUUUUAUUACAUGUUAUGUGAUGGAGUCAUGUUCUGGAGAAGAACUUGUAUAUCGCAGGAAUAGGUUUUAAGAUGUAUGGAAUGUGUGGCCAGAACCCAAUACAAUUUUUUUGUUUCGUAAAUUACUCCUACAUAUUUCAACCAAACUUACCCCAUAUGUCAAAAUUAAAAGCAGGCGCUACACGUGGAGGGAGAGUGUGGUCGCAAAUAUGAUAAUUUAGAACUUGAAUGACCCAAAUCAGCUAAAGCAAAGAAUUAUCAAAAUUAGUUUCUCGAAAAAUAUAUCGAAAUUGCAUAUAAAUUGUAUAUUUGAGAAAUAUCAAAGAAACAAACAACACUCAUACUUGUUGCAAAACUUAUUCACAUAGGGAACACCAAAGUUUGGGGUUGGGUUUCCAAAGAACAAUCUUGGGUGAUCAAACAAAAUUCCUCAAUCUAGGUUUUUUAUUUUUUAAAUUUAUUUAUUUAUAUUUUAUUUUAUAGGCUUAAAUUUUUAUAGGAAAAAAAGAAGAAGGCAGAAGUAGAGAAUGGUGGGCCAUGAGAAACUAGAAAAUGGCACAGCGGAGCCCAACCCAUGAAACGAAAACCCUAACCUUAUAUAACACUCACACAUUCCCUUCGGAACCCACAAAUUUUCUCUCAGUCUCGUUCUCUUUUAUAGGCUGCGGAGAAUUCCUCUCUCUCUACCUCGAUUCUUCUUGAGGUUCGUUCAUAUAUCCUCUUUGUUUUAUUCAAUUCAGUGCCUGCCUUUAAUUUUAUAUCUUAUAUUAUUCUUCUGUUUUCUGGUUUCUGUCGCCAUGCUUUUUAUUUCUUCUGAAAAUGGUUGAUCUGCAUGGAUUUUAUUAUUAUUUUAUCUUUUUGUUGAAAAUUCUCGUUAUAUAUGCAUGCUUUUGAUGUUAGAUUGUUUACAUAUUUGUAUUAGAUCCUUGUUCCUUGUGUUGAUCACUGUAAGGCGCCGUUUGUUUCGUCGGAAAAUUGUUACGUGAAAUUUUUUUCUUGGUGUAAAGAUUUUCUGGCGUUUUCUUUGGACGGUUGGAGUUUUCUACGUGAUGUAUUAGAAUAUCGUUGUUUUUCUGAGUAGAUUUGUUGUAUAAUCUAUAUCCUCGUUCGUUUUUCUGUGUUUUUUUUUUGCUGCAAAAUAGUUACACCUACAAAUUUUUCGAUUUGGUAAAUUUUUCUGAUGUUUCCUUGCUACUGUGAAAAAUCAUUACGUGACCAUAUGAGAUUUUCCUCUGUGUUUAUGAAUAAAUGUUAUCUUUUCCAUUAUAUUUUUCCCGGCAAAUAUUUUUCUAAAUGCUAUGAAAUAAUUUUAACACAAUUCGAAGAGAGAAAAUUUCUAUCUACUGUAAUUUGAAUGUGGCUAAUUGCUUGUUUUUCCCAUUGGUAUAUUUUUUAUAUUGCUUGUUUUUCCCUUUUGAAUACCUUCACACAUCCAAACAUGCGAGCCCAUGCAGAGAAGGGAAUACCAUGUGUGAUUAUUUUUUCUGAUUGAAAUCUUUUAUCUUGAUUGUUAAUAAAAUUAUUAUAUUUGAUACAGUAAUAGUUAUCAAAGUAGAGGGUAUUCAUAGAUAUUUACUUGAAUUUCUUGCUUGAAUGUUCAAUUGAACCCUCGGUUCAUUAUCUUUAUGGUUUUAAUUUUCAGGUGGUUCACCUCCGUAUAAUUACAAAUUGGUGGUUUCUCUUAAAUACUUGUCAAGAUGGUAAGUGUAAUCUAUCAAUUUAAGCUUACUGGUUGUUGGGCUGCUCUAUUAAUUUCGUAAUUCUUAAUGGAGAGAUAUUAUUGAUAUGUGCAGGUGAAGUUUACAGCAGAGGAACUCCGUAGGAUUAUGGACUACAAGCAUAACAUUCGCAAUAUGUCCGUUAUUGCACAUGUUGAUCAUGGUAUCGAUAACUUUUUUCACUUGAUAAUUCUUAUAUUUGUAGCAUUAUUUUCACUCACCUGCUCAUAAUGGAGUCGUUAAUAGUGUUCUGUUUGAGUUAAUUUGAGCUGCUUUCUUGUAUCUGGUUGAUUAUGCCCUGCUCAAAUGUAUAAUUGUCCUUUUGCUUUCAAAUUUGCAUUACAUUCUUGUUCAUGUUUCAAUGUCCUGUGUGUUGUUCAUAGCUAUAAUGGUACUGAGUUUUAAUAUGCAGGGAAGUCAACCCUUACCGACUCCCUUGUUGCUGCUGCUGGUAUCAUUGCACAAGAAGUUGCUGGUGAUGUCCGGAUGACAGAUACCCGUGCAGAUGAGGCAGAGCGUGGUAUCACAAUCAAAUCUACUGGUAUCUCUCUCUACUAUGAGAUGACUGAUGAAGCUUUGAAGAGCUACAAGGGGGAGAGAAACGGAAAUGAGUACCUCAUCAAUCUCAUUGAUUCCCCUGGGCACGUUGACUUUUCAUCUGAAGUCACAGCUGCCCUUCGCAUUACUGAUGGUGCACUUGUGGUGGUUGAUUGCAUUGAGGGUGUUUGUGUCCAAACAGAGACUGUGCUUCGUCAAGCCUUGGGAGAAAGGAUCAGGCCUGUUUUGACUGUUAACAAGAUGGACAGGUGCUUCCUUGAGCUCCAGGUCGAUGGAGAGGAGGCUUACCAAGCAUUCCAAAGGGUUAUUGAGAAUGCUAAUGUCAUUAUGGCUACAUACGAAGACCCCCUUCUUGGUGAUGUCCAGGUCUAUCCAGAGAAAGGAACAGUUGCCUUUUCAGCUGGUUUGCAUGGUUGGGCUUUUACUCUGACCAACUUUGCCAAGAUGUAUGCAUCCAAGUUUGGAGUUGAUGAAUCAAAGAUGAUGGAAAGGCUCUGGGGUGAGAACUACUUUGACCCAGCUACCAAGAAAUGGACCAGCAAAAACACUGGUUCUGCUACCUGCAAGCGUGGUUUCGUUCAGUUCUGUUAUGAACCCAUCAAGCAGAUUAUCAACAUCUGCAUGAAUGAUCAGAAGGAGAAGUUGUGGCCCAUGUUGACAAAGCUUGGUGUGACGAUGAAGAGUGAUGAAAAGGAGCUGAUGGGGAAGGCGUUGAUGAAGCGUGUCAUGCAGACCUGGCUACCAGCCAGCAGUGCCCUUUUGGAAAUGAUGAUCUUUCACCUUCCCUCUCCUUCAACUGCCCAGAGAUACCGUGUUGAGAACUUGUACGAGGGUCCCCUUGAUGAUCAAUAUGCAAAUGCUAUCAGGAACUGCGAUCCUGAAGGGCCUCUUAUGCUCUAUGUAUCUAAGAUGAUUCCCGCAUCUGACAAGGGUCGAUUCUUUGCCUUUGGUCGUGUCUUUGCUGGUAAAGUCCAGACAGGUUUGAAGGUUAGAAUCAUGGGUCCAAAUUAUGUUCCUGGAGAGAAGAAGGAUUUGUAUGUUAAGAACGUGCAGAGGACUGUUAUUUGGAUGGGAAAGAAACAAGAAACUGUUGAGGAUGUUCCUUGUGGUAACACUGUUGCCUUGGUCGGUCUUGAUCAGUUUAUCACCAAGAAUGCUACGUUGACAAAUGAGAAGGAAGCGGAUGCUCACCCCAUUCGUGCUAUGAAGUUCUCUGUUUCACCUGUUGUGCGUGUUGCUGUUCAAUGCAAGGUGGCUUCUGACCUUCCCAAACUGGUUGAAGGUCUCAAACGUCUGGCCAAGUCUGAUCCUAUGGUUGUCUGUUCCAUUGAGGAAUCCGGUGAGCAUAUUAUUGCUGGUGCUGGUGAACUUCAUCUUGAGAUUUGUUUGAAGGAUCUACAAGAUGAUUUCAUGGGUGGAGCUGAGAUUAUAAAAUCUGACCCCGUUGUGUCUUUCCGUGAGACUGUCCUGGAGAAGUCUAGUCGUACUGUGAUGAGCAAGUCACCCAACAAGCAUAACCGUCUGUAUAUGGAAGCUCGACCCUUGGAGGAAGGUCUUCCUGAGGCCAUUGAUGAUGGCCGUAUUGGCCCAAGAGAUGAUCCCAANNNNNNNNNNNNNNNNNNNNNNNNNNNNNNNNNNNNNNNNNNNNNNNNNNNNNNNNNNNNNNNNNNNNNNNNNNNNNNNNNNNNNNNNNNNNNNNNNNNNGCAGUAUGUAAAUUUUUUGUCUGGGGGGGGGGGGGGGGGCGGCGGUUGGGGGAGGGGAGUGGAGCUCGGUCAUUUGGCACAUUUCUUGAUCAUUAAUGUGUCUUACUGGACUGCAGGGACGUGGAUUUGACAGAGAAAUUAGACUACUCAUCUGCAGUGGCAAUACUUGGGUACUCGCUCAUUCUGUCCAUACUAAGAAGUUUUGAUGUGAAGGAUGAUGCUGUCAGAGUGNNNNNNNNNNNNNNNNNNNNNNNNNNNNNNNNNNNNNNNNNNNNNNNNNNNNNNNNNNNNNNNNNNNNNNNNNNNNNNNNNNNNNNNNNNNNNNNNNNNNUUUUUUCUUUUUCGUUAACAUAUAUAGUUGGAGAGAGAGAGAGAGCAGUGACCUAUAUAUAGUUUAUUUACUUGAAUAGCAGUGACCGUGGAUCACAUAGGUGCUACGCUACCUGUUACUCCAAGAAUGUAAGCUAGUAGGAAGUGACAAGUGCUGGAUGAUAUCUGUUUCUCAACAUUCAAACUGACCAUGCCCGUGAAUUAAUUUUUUAUAUUAGAUGGAAAGUCUUUAUAUUGGACAUGAAAUAUCUUGCUUUGAUUUCACUAUAGAUCACUGAUUAUCCUAGAAAGUUGAAGUGUUAGGAAAUGCAUAAUUUCCUUUAUUUGGACAACUGAUGGGUUGUCUUCUCUCUUUCUGUGACAUAAUUUCCUAGUUUUCAUGAUAACAAUCUGACUUAAUUAAUCAACACAUUGCAGGGUGGAACAUGCAAGUUUGUGUUGUCAUGGCAGUAGUACAACUUCUUGUUUGGGCGAUUUGGGCUGGUGUCACUCGCCAUCCAUCACGUUGGAAGCUGUGGCUGGUAGUAGUGGCAGGUGGCCUUGCAAUGCUCCUAGAAAUUUAUGAUUUCCCUCCAUAUCAAGGGUUUGUGGAUGCUCAUGCGGCCUGGCACGCCACCACUAUUCCCCUAACUUACGUUUGGUGGAGUUUCAUCAGAGAUGAUGCCGAGUUCCUAACCUCGAACCAAAUGAAGAGGAUGAAAACCUCUAACCUUGCAAAGAAGGCAAAAUAGUUGUUUCUAUAUGGUAUGACCCUGUGAUGCUUGAGCACGUAGCCCUUGUCUCCAUUAGCUACUGGAAAUUGCAGUUUCCCCCCUUUUUCUUCAGUCUAUCUGUAUUGCAAAUUGUGACAGUUGCGUUAGGGUACUGAUGCACAAAAAAGACCAUCAGAAGACCUUUAUUUAUUUAUUUAUAUUUUAUUUAUCUCAUCUUUUAGCAAUACUUCACCUAUUCACAAUAAAUGGUCACUCCAUCUAUCGCCAGCAACACAACCAGAUUAAGAAAUGAACAUUGAAACCUUAACCAGCAACAUAGCACAUAAGCUAAAGUGGGAAAAAUGCAUUCAGACCCACACACACACACAAAAAAAAAAAAAAAAAAAAAAACCAAGAAAUCUUGAAAUUGUGAAAAAACAAAACAAUAAAUACCAAAGAGAGAAAAAAUUCUAAUUUCUCACUCUUCCAUUGAAGACAAAUUACUUCAUAUUUAAAAUUUAGUGGGUUUUGGGUUAAGGUUGGCAUUCAUAAUUCUUUUCAUUUUUCUUGGAUUGCUUGAAGUUGUUUGGGUGCUCUGAUCUUAUUUGCCUGGAGUUCGAUCAUAUCUUAUCUCGACCUAUUUUCAUGGUUAAUAUCUUUAUAUUUAACACCAAACAACAAAUAUAAAAAGAGUUUUAGUACAAAAACAAGACAGUCUCGUAAAUUGUAGAAGGAAAAUUAGAGAGAGAAAAAGAAUUAGGGAAGGAACAGAUGGACGAUCACUCAAAUUUUAGGGAAAACUUGCAGAGAAGGGAAAAGAAGAAGGAAAAAGAACACUUAGACAUGUUAGAGACGUUAGGUUGGAGUAAUUGGAGUUAGUCAACUUAUGGUGAUUUAUUUUUAUUUUUUAAUUAAGUGUAAAUUGGGUUUUUUAUUUUGUGGAUGAUGUGUCCGGCUUACAUCCCUUAGAUUAAAUUUUAAUGAGGUAUCAUGUGGAGAACGAAAGUAAAGUAGAUCAUAACAGAGAAAAUCAUAGCAGAGGAUUCGGAUCCUUAUAACAUAUGUAUUAGGUUUAAAUGCACCAUCGUAUUAUAAUUUGAAUGAACUUUUAACAUUAUGUAAAUCUGUUGCGCAAUGUUACUAUUACACCUAAAAAUUACUCGUUGAUAACGUUUGAAUGUGAACUUUCCCCUUUUUUAGAGUUUUUGCUGUGUUUACCUCCAUUGAAAAUAGAUUAAAUCAAUCAUUUAAGUUGAGUUUAUUUUAUUAACUUUGUGUUGGCCUUGACAAGUUGAAAAUUUCAAGAUUAUUUUCAAUCUCAAGACGAGUUUCAUUGGACAUUGUUUUUUUAUAAUCCAGACUGGACCUUUGGCCCAUUUACAAAGCAAAGCCCAACCCAGNNNNNNNNNNNNNNNNNNNNNNNNNNNNNNNNNNNNNNNNNNNNNNNNNNNNNNNNNNNNNNNNNNNNNNNNNNNNNNNNNNNNNNNNNNNNNNNNNNNNCAACCGCAUAUACCUCGGUCUUACUAUUUUAUUCUCUCUCAGCUCCUUUUGUAUAUAAAGGAGAAGUCUGAGAUUCCACCUCCAUUUUCUUUCGCCUGCCGCCUCGCUUGCUGCUUGUCACCUGGUUCGCUCUCUCUCUCUCUCUCUCUCUCUCUCUCUCUCUCUACUAUAUUUAGAUCUGAAGCUUCUAAGCUGAAGCUUGCUUUGAAGUAAUUAGCUUGCUUGCUUAUUUCAAUUAAAUGAUUCUCGUACCUGUUUUACGAUUUUUCUGGCUUAAGAUCUGUAAUUAGACGGUCAAAGUAGUAUAAUCUUUUGUACUAUAUGAUUUGAAAUGGAUUAGAUUGAAUUUUCUUUUGCUUAGUUGCUGCUCAUAUAAUUUAGCCGACUUUUUUAUUCAUUCUUUUUUAGCUUUUUUUUUCAAAUAACCCAUAUCAAAUUUAAACGAAGAUCGUAUAGAUAUGGAUGCAUACACACAUACCAGAUUUAAACAAGUAUCUUAUAUAUUUACUUGCAUAAACACAUAUGUAUGUAUCAAAAUACCUGCAAAAUUACUUUCUUACUAUGCUUUUGGAUUUCCUUUAAUUGGUGGGGAAUUUUGUAACUGUUAUGGCUCUUGUUACUUUGUUCUUGUUCAUUUAUCUAAUUAUGAUGGUUUUACUAUUUUUGUGGACAGAUACUAAUUAUAUUUUUGGAGGUGACAUUUGAAGACUAGUCAAGAUGGUAAGAUACUUGUUUCAUCAGUUCAGUGGGUUGCUGGGAAACUACAUUAUUUCCUUAAUUUUAAUUGAGUUAUAUUUUUCAUAUGUACAGGUGAAGUUCACAGCUGAGGAGCUCCGUAGGAUUAUGGACUACAAACACAACAUUCGUAACAUGUCUGUUAUUGCGCAUGUUGAUCACGGUAUAUAUAAUGUUACUUAUUUGGCUUACCAAAUAUCAAUCUGAAAUGAUGUUUUGUUUACAAGUAUAGAGCAUUUAUACUGGCUUUAAAUGAUUGUAUCUGUUCCCAAGCUUGAAUAUCAUAAUUAUCAAUUAUGGUUUCAAGGCGCAGCUAAAGGAGUGGCUGAAUUUUUAUGUAUAAGUAGGAUAUUAAUGCAAUUGNNNNNNNNNNNNNNNNNNNNNNNNNNNNNNNNNNNNNNNNNNNNNNNNNNNNNNNNNNNNNNNNNNNNNNNNNNNNNNNNNNNNNNNNNNNNNNNNNNNNNNNNNNNNNNNUAAAAUUUUCCUCCUCUCAGGGAAGUCAACCCUUACCGACUCCCUUGUUGCUGCUGCUGGUAUCAUUGCACAAGAAGUUGCUGGUGAUGUCCGGAUGACAGAUACCCGUGCAGAUGAGGCAGAGCGUGGUAUCACAAUCAAAUCUACUGGUAUCUCUCUCUACUAUGAGAUGACUGAUGAAGCUUUGAAGAGCUACAAGGGGGAGAGAAACGGAAAUGAGUACCUCAUCAAUCUCAUUGAUUCCCCUGGGCACGUUGACUUUUCAUCUGAAGUCACAGCUGCCCUUCGCAUUACUGAUGGUGCACUUGUGGUGGUUGAUUGCAUUGAGGGUGUUUGUGUCCAAACAGAGACUGUGCUUCGUCAAGCCUUGGGAGAAAGGAUCAGGCCUGUUUUGAC